UUAAAUUGAAGAGUUUGAUCAUGGCUCAGAUUGAACGCUGGCGGCAGGCCUAACACAUGCAAGUCGAACGGUAACAGGAAGCAGCUUGCUGCUUCGCUGACGAGUGGCGGACGGGUGAGUAAUGUCUGGGAAACUGCCUGAUGGAGGGGGAUAACUACUGGAAACGGUAGCUAAUACCGCAUAACGUCGCAAGACCAAAGAGGGGGACCUUCGGGCCUCUUGCCAUCGGAUGUGCCCAGAUGGGAUUAGCUAGUAGGUGGGGUAACGGCUCACCUAGGCGACGAUCCCUAGCUGGUCUGAGAGGAUGACCAGCCACACUGGAACUGAGACACGGUCCAGACUCCUACGGGAGGCAGCAGUGG
rnacentral:rRNA from 1 species